AUUGCAGACGGAGCCCCUUCUCAUUGCUGCUUUGAAAUGGCAGUUUCAGCUUGUGCCUCACCGGAGCCUGAAUGCAGAGGAAGCUUGGAGGCUCUGCAGGAAAAGGGGGCUUGAGAAAGAGCUGUGGCGAUAACAAACAGCCCGAGCGAGAAUCAUCUGCACGAAUAUGCUUGGCACAACCUUUCCAAUGUCAAUGGAUUCCCCUGCAAUGCUGCGGCUGCUACUGCUGGCUCCGGGGUCAGAAAUGCCAGGAAGGUCCAAUCUUGUGUUUUCUGGUUUCUGUUAGCACUUUCCUCGGAGGACCCCGGCAUGUGGAAUGAGAAUCCCUAGACACAGGGCCAGCACUAGAUUGCUAUCUGCUUCAGCAUCAUCUCCUGCACCGCAAUAGGAAAUGAACCAUUUAAGAAUGACAGCCAUCUAAGAAGGAUACUUCGGGGGAUGCAUCAGUUCUAUAGGGGAGUGGAAAAAAAGCAAGAAAUGGACUUCUAGUCUGGUAGUUGCCUAACUCUUCCGUUCUGUCCCCUUAUUGCAGUUGGCUGGGAAGCAUCACCCACUCAAGUCCACAUAAGGUUCAGUGGAUGAAACCCUCAGCAACUUGUUCAGCUUUUUUCGUGCCUGUGAAGACUCUCUGCUGGGAGGAUUAGUCUCAGCAUGUGUUUUUAUUGGUGGAUAAACGUUCUCAUCUCAGGUGUGACCUCUAUCUUCUAUGUUGUUCUCCUACUAGUGCUUUACAUCAAGCUCAGCAGGAAAAUAGACAAUCAUUCCUGUAGCAAUCAGGUGAGCAGCAGCAGCAGCCCUUCUACGAAACCAGAACAACCCAACACUUGCCAGGCAGCAAAUGAGGCUUUGAAAAGGCCACGCAUCCGGGGUGACAGUGGCACUUCCUCAGACAGCUCUGAGAGCUCAGACAGCAGCCCUUCCAUUAGGCAGUGUCCUCGGUCAGAAGAAGGGGUCGACUACACAUCCCUGGUCUUCCAAACUACCGGUCGCAGUGCAAGCACUGCAGGGGACUACGAGAACAUGAAGAUGGGAGCAGACUAUGUCAACGUGGAUCCCCAAAAAAGGAAGGUGGAUUUCUGGACCUGCUCGAGCCCUGUAUCUUCCAACCCCGUAGAAUAUACUGAAGUGAAAUUGUGAUUAUUGAGAUGCUAUUAACUAAGUUUUCCUUAGGAACGUCAGAAUUGCCACAGCAGGUCAAAUCAGUGAUCCGUCCUUAAUCAGUAUCCUGUAUCCUGUCUCUGCACAUUUCACAUGGGUCACUGUCAACCUGUUCAUAUAGGUAUGUUCCUCCUAAUCCUCGUCAAUUAGUGGCUGUCAUGUCCUGAAGCUUGAAGCUUUAUAUUCCUUAUAACAUUUUAUUCUGCCUAAUGUAACUGUGCAUGUUCUUGUUAUCCAUACAAAGGUCUCUUCCUUUCUGAAUCCUACAAAGCUCUUGGCUGUGUUGAUACAAUGCAGCAGUGGGUUCCACUUGUUAUUCACAGCUUGUGUAAAAACAGCAUUUCCGUUUCUCAGAGACAAACGUGCCCUUCCAUUUCAUUGGCUUCCCCUUGUUCUCACGUUAGAGGAGAGCGUAAUUAAGAAAAUAUAAUAGGGGGUCAAAUCCUCAGCUAGUAUAAAACCUAAUUCAACUUCACUGGAGCUACACCAAUUGAACUGGCCCUUUGAUUGGGCUUGUGUUUUAUUUGCUUGAUGUCAAUUAAUUA